GACGAACCGUGCGAACGUUGUUCGGAUUCACUGGGCUUAAAGGGCGCGUAGGCGGGCCAGCAAGUCAGGGGUGAAAUCUUUCAGCUCAACUGGAAGAGUGCCUUUGAUACUGCUGGUCUCGAGGGAGGUAGGGGCGUGCGGAACUUCCGGUGGAGCGGUGAAAUGCGUAGAGAUCGGAAGGAACGCCGGUGGCGAAAGCGGCGCGCUGGACCUCUUCUGACGCUGAGGCGCGAAAGCCAGGGGAGCAAACGGG
rnacentral:rRNA from 1 species